AGAGAGAGACAUGCGCGCAUAUCAAUAAGCGGAGGAAAAGAAACUAACAAGGAUUCCCCUAGUAACGGCGAGUGAAGCGGGAAGAGCUCAAAUUUGAAAUCUUAAAGGGUUUCCCUUUACGAAUUGUAGUUUAAAGAAGUGUUUUCUGUUGAGGUUUUGGUAAAAGUUCUUCGGAAUAGGACAUCAUAGAGGGUGAGAAUCCCGUAUUUGACCUUUACUUUCAACUUUGUGAUACACUUUCAAAGAGUCGGAUUGUUUGGGAAUGCAGUCCAAAAUGGGUGGUAAAUUUCAUCUAAAGCUAAAUAUUGGCGAGAGACCGAUAGCGAACAAGUACCGUGAGGGAAAGAUGAAAAGAACUUUGAAAAGAGAGUUAAACAGUACGUGAAAUUGUCAAAAGGGAAGCGUUUGACACCAGUGUUGUUUUUCUGAAAAUCAAUUAAAGAACUGUUUAUGCUAAGCUUGUUUAGACUUUAUCAGCUAACUGUUUAGUUUUGAGCUUUUCUUUAAUGCACUUUUCAGUUAACAAGUCAACAUCAAUUUCUUUUGCUGUAAAAAAGCUUGAGGAAGGUGGCUUGAGAUUCGUCUUAAGUGUUUAUAGCCUCUUGCCUAUGCAGUCGGAGAGAUUGAGGUCUGCAGCGUAGAUCCUUCGGGGCUAAAUGCAUUUGUGCUAAGUUAUAGCAUUUUAUAGACAACUUGUUGACUAUGAUUUGUCUAGUAGCUUACUCGCUUAUGUUAUUUUACCUACGCUUAGGAUGUUGACGCAUGAGAUAUACGC
rnacentral:rRNA from 1 species